UCUUCUUCACUUCACUGAGCAGUCUGCGCUGUGCUCUUGCAGUCAUCUUUACAGGACGGCCACUCCUAGGGAGAGUAGCAGCAGUGCUGAACUUUCUCCAUUUAUAGACAAUUUGUCUUACCGUGGACUGAUGAACAGCAAGGCUUUUUGAGAUACUUUUAUAACCCUUUCCAGCUUUAUGCAAGUCAACAAUUCUUAAUCGUAGAUCUUCUGAGAGCUCUUUUGUGCGAGGCAUCAUU